rnacentral:rRNA from 1 species
CCCCUCGUGUGCCUUGUCUCAGAGAGUUUGAUUCUGGCUCAGGAUGAACGCUGGCGGCGUGCCUAAUACAUGCAAGUCGAACGAGGGUAGUAAUACCCUAGUGGCGAACGGGUGAGUAACACGUAGGUAACCUGCCUUUAGCUUGGGAUACCCGAAGGAAACUUUGGCUAAUACCGGAUAAUAACAACCGAGGCAUCUCGGAUGUUUGAAAGGAGCUCUAAAGCUUCACUAAAAGAUGGACCUGCGGCGCAUUAGCUAGUUGGUGAGAUAACAGCCCACCAAGGCGAGGAUGCGUAGCCGAACUGAGAGGUUGAACGGCCACAUUGGAACUGAGACACGGUCCAAACUCCUACGGGAGGCAGCAGUAAGGAGUUUUCGGCAAUGGGGGAAACCCUGACCGAGCAACGCCGCGUGAGUGAUGAACCGGCCCUAUGGGUUGUAAAGCUCUGUUAUAAGGGACGAACAGCUUUGCUAGGAAAUGAGCAGAGUCUGACGGUACUUUAUCAGAAAGCCACGGCUAACUACGUGCCAGCAGCGGC